AUAAUAUAUUUGUCUUUGUAAGGACCAGUGCUUACGCACGAAGCUUCCAUCAGAUCUCCACCAAAUCAUUAUUCCAAAAUCUCACCACCACUACAAAUACACCCUCUCCACCUCGCUUCACUUCUUCACUUUUCCCAUUCCCCCAAAACCAAAAGCAAUGGCCAAAUACUCUCUCCUCUUUCUCCUCCUCCUCACCUCAGCCCUCUCCUCCACCAUCUCCGCCGCAACGGCAAAACCCCCCACCUUCAAGGUGAAACCCCGC
rnacentral:lncRNA from 1 species